rnacentral:miRNA from 1 species
GGGACCUGUAGUCAACACGAGA